rnacentral:rRNA from 1 species
AGCGAACGUUAGCGGCAGGCCUAACACAUGCAAGUCGCGCGAGAAUGGGGUCUUCGGAUCCCUAGUAAAGCGGCGGACGGGUGCGUAACACGUGGGUAAUGUACCCUUCAGCGGGGGACAACAGUCCGAAAGGAUUGCUAAUACCGCAUACGUCGGCGGGACCUUCGGGCCCUGCCGGGAAAGGUGGCCUCUCCAUGGAAGCUACCACUGAAGGAGCAGCCCGCGGCCCAUCGGCUAGUUGGCGGUGUAAUAGACCACCAAGGCGAAGACGGGUAGCUGGUCGGAGCGGAUGAUCAGCCACAAUGGAACUGAGACACGGUCCAGACUCCUACGGGAGGCAGCAGUGGGGAAUAGUGGGCAAUGGGCGCAAGCCUGACCCAGCCAUGCCGCGUGAGUGAUGAAGGCCUUCGGGUCGUAAAGCUCUGUGGGGAGGGACGAAACAGGCUGUGGCUAACAUCCACGGCCCUUGACGGUACCUCCUUAGCAAGCACCGGCUAACUCCGUGCCAGCAGCCACGGUAA